rnacentral:rRNA from 1 species
UCUGGAGACAGGUGCUGCAUGGCUGUCGUCAGCUCGUGUCGUGAGAUGUUGGGUUAAGUCCCGCAACGAGCGCAACCCUUGCCUUUAGUUGCCAGCAGUUCGGCUGGGCACUCUAAAGGGACUGCCGGUGUUAAACCGGAGGAAGGUGGGGAUGACGUCAAGUCCUCAUGGCCUUUAUGACCAGGGCUACACACGUACUACAAUGGCCGAUACAAAGGGCAGCGACACUGCGAGGUGAAGCCAAUCCCGUAAAAUCGGUCUCAGUCCGGAUUGGAGUCUGCAACUCGACUCCAUGAAGUUGGAAUCGCUAGUAAUCGUGGAUCGGCAUGCCACGGUGAAUACGUUCCCGGGCCUU